GAUAAACGCUGGCGGCGUGCCUAAACAUGCAAGUCGAACGGUGCUCAUCCUUCGGGGUGGGAGUAGUGGCGGACGGCGUGAGUAACACGUGGGUGACCGUGCCCUCACGCUCUGGGAUAACUCCAAGAAAUUGGUGCUAAUACCGGAUGUGACCGCUGACCGCAUGGUCUGGUGGUGGAAAGAUUCAUCGGCUGAGGAUGGGCCCGCGGCCUAUCAGCUUGNGGUUGGGGUAAGUGGCCCACCAAGGCGACGACGGGUAGCCGGCCUGAGAGGGUGACCGGCCACACUGGACUGAGACACGGCCCAGACUCCUACGGGAGGCAGCAGUGGGGAAUAUUGCGCAAUGGGCGAAAGCCUGACGCAGCGACGCCGCGUGAGGGAUGACGGCCUGG
rnacentral:rRNA from 1 species